UUUUCUUUCCAUAGUUCCUUUAAAUGUGUUCAUCUCUUUUAAUUUAGAUUUAGGACCUCCAGGAUUGUUUGCUUAUACAUUGCCUUUAUAAAAAUGUCCAUUUCUUUACUGUAAAGAGUUCAAAAUAAAGUUAAGAUAUGGCCUCUAAAAAAAAAAAAAUGAAACCUAGCUCUUUAUUUCUUCCAGUGACUACUUUGGCACUUGUUUCUUGAAGUACCUCUAUCUUUGUGAGUCCACAAGGUCCUUCUGUAAAUGCUUUUUGCAUUGAUAGUUUGCGCCAUAUAGGGCAACACUUGACUCAACACCAUUUUUCUACUCUUGUCUCCUUCUUGUUUUGUUCUACCCUUUCUGAUUUUACUGUGAUUUUUUUUGUAAGCACCAACCUAUAUAGAUAUCCUUCAUAAAUAUCUAAGAAAACUUCUGGAUUUUCUCUUAAAGCUUCACAAAACACUGUCGUUUUUUAAUGUUUGUUGUAUGUUGAUAACUCAGAAAAACCUACAGCAAUCUAACAAUUCCAUUGCUUAAAAAAUCACAAAAAGCACAAAAAUUUUAAAGGCAAUAAAAUAAACUAUUGACUUUAAAAAAAAUUCAAUUGGCACUUUUUUUUUUUAAUUGCAGGAUUUCUUAUCCCAUUUACCCCUGAGGAGAAAAUAAAAAAUCUCUUGACCAAAGCUUAAAACUUCAUCCUAAAAGAGGAAAGGGGGGAAAUUAUUUCAAUUCUUUGUGUGAAACUAAUAGUUUUAUGUCAUGAGAAGGCUGCCAUUUUUUUCCAGUAAGUAAAGAUGCCCCAUACUAUGAAGGGUUGCCAUUUAAAGAACAACCAGGAAGCAAUUCAAUGAAGAGGAAUUGUUAAGGAUUGGUUACUUGCUGCAUUCCAAUCAUGUUCUUUUCAAAACCUAGCUUUAUGGAUUUUAAAGAAAUCCUGAGGGGACACUCUUUUCCUUUUGUCCCACAGAAAUAUCAUCAUUAAACCCCUCUAAAAAUGGUUUCUGAUAUGAUUCUGCUUUCCAGCUGAGGCAACAUUUUCUAUAAGUAAUAACAAAACAGCUGAAGUGAGUAAAAGCAAACUGAGCAGAUAGGAGUAUCAAUCCUGAUGGGACCAAAGGGAGCCCUGUGUUAACUUCUGAAGUACCUGAACUUUUCUGAACCAGUUGGUUUUGACUGAAAUUGAAAAUGCUCUUUUACUUUCGAAUCCCUGCCAGAGGGGGCUGCUAGGGUAGACUUCUCCAGCUAUUUUUCUUCUUUUUCAGAGGAAUUCAAGACGGGAGAUGUCAAUGUGUGUGCUUAAGCGUAAAAGUGAUCAUUUUUUAACCACUGGUGGGAAAGUAGUUUGCCAGUGGGGAGCUAAGUGUUGAAAUCUGGCAUUAAUCCAGCAGAGCUGGACCAAUAGAUCACAGAUAACUAUACAGUAUAUGACGGUGAGUCCUCUUGCUUAAAAUGAAAAAAAAAAAAAUGGGGAGUAUUGAGAAGUGAGACAGGAGAUUUUUCAAAAGGUGCACUACAUUGCUCUAUUGACUUAAGUCAGCCACAAGGAAAUUUAAAAACAAUUUAGAGAAUCGAGUGCAACUACCCCUAUGAAGAUUACUCUUCAUAAAACAUAAGAGUAUGGGGAAUACUCCACUAUGAAAUAUCGUCUUGCAUGUAUGAUUACCUUAAGGCUUCAGCAGAUACUAAAUUGCAUUCUAAAAGUUUGGUGAAUUUAAGCUGAACAGGUCAUAUAUGUCACCUAGAAACAACAACGAGACCCCCAGAAGUGGAAGUGGAAGUAAACAGCCAAGUGUCUGUCUCUUGAGGAAAAGUUCAUAAAAACAGAAAUCCAAUCUUUCCAUCAAGAUUAUUGUAUAAGUGUGGAUAAAAGCUCAACUGUCAUGCUUUUCAUGUCGGGUCACGAAUGCCAGCUGCUUGUUAUUUUAAAAUAAUCAUAAAAAAUAUUAGUUGAGGAAUUAUUUUCAAAUAAGAAAUCAGAAAGGGAUUCCAAAAUGAGUUUUUCCUCUUUUUCCAAAACAAAACUGGAAUAUCAGGACUAGAGGCAGAAUUUAAAACCCUAAUCAUUUGAAUUUGAAAUAAACACCCCCCCAAAUAUAUUUAAAGUUACUAUUUAAUUAAAAUAGGUAAGAAACCAAAAAGUAAGACCAAAGUUAUUGUUAUACAUAAAGAUAUGUUUUCCAUAAGUCUCUUCAAAUCAAAGGAGUCAAAAGUAUAAUUUCUAAAGUCAUAUAAGAAAGGAACCAUAUGUUUUCUCCUUCUCCUUUUUUCUUAUAAUGAAGUCGGAGCAUAUUUAUAAACAGUGCUUCUCCUUUCCCAUAUUUGUUUUUAUCCAUGCCUUUCUUGCCAAGAAUUAAUUUAUUCACUCAGUAUUUGUUUGGUGACCAUUGUGCAUAAUAUUAAGAUUCUCCUGAUAUUAAAAAGCAGUAUCUAGAUUAUUGGUCAUAGUUUGGUUUUCAGAAAUCUUACCGUGAAGCUACAGGACAUAAAGGUAGUAUUUGGAGCAGUUGUAAAUGUUUUCUAGUCUCUUCCUUGAGUUGAGAAUUUCAAGUACUAAACUUAUAAUUAUUUUCCUCCAAUCUCCCAGGGCAUUUAGAAACAACCAACGACCUCUGGUACAUUCCUUAAUUAUCCCAAGAUUUCUAUGGCAGCUACUCCGUAUGAUCUCUUUAGAAGCGUAAUGAGAUUUCUUUCAUGGUGGCUUAUGAAAGUGGGUGUUCCAGGAGCAGACAUGGAUGCUGCCCAUCCUCUUAGAGACAUGGCUAUUACUUCCAUAUUCCAGCUAAUGGAAAUCAUACAACACCUCAGAUUCAGAGAGGAGGGCUACCUACAGGAGGGCACACUGGGAGAUACAGUUCAUUGGGGAUCACUUUUGGAAACUAGGUAUCUCAGGUAGUUUGGAAUUUCUGUUUGUAGUGAUAUGGUUAAAAAAAUUAUUAUUCUCUGGGUCUGUAAUACAUAAGGCCAUAUUUUAAUGAUUAAUAUUUGAGUUGCAUCUGAAUUGUAGGCUCAUUUACUGUGCCAAUCUUGAUAGUUUUGCCCAUUAUGAAUAUCACAUCAUUUAUUUUGGAAAGUGGAAUUGAGCUAAAAUGAGAAGGAUAACUGAAUAUGGUGUUUUUGGUCUGAGAAGCCCAGACAAUGAUGCCCAUAGUAAUUGUUUUUAUACUGUCAGAAAUAAAAUACUUGCUACAAAGAAUAUAAAGCUUACAAAUGUGAUAAAUUUGCUAGCUAUCCUAGGGUAUAAAAUGUAUUUUCAAUAAUGAUGAAUGUGCUAAGUCAAAACAUAUGAAUAUAAGAAAUGCUAUGGAAAGAUAUAUUUUCUUAAUGGAAUUGCCUGUUUUGCCUAAACUUUGAUACUCAAAAGCAUGAAAAAUUGAAAAUUAUGUAUUCAUUUUUUGUUAAGUUCUUAAAUAUCCUAUGUUACUAUAUUGGUGUAUUUAAUCUUAAUUCCAAAGAUCUCAAAAUUUGAGAUUCCUAACUAAAGAGAUUUAGUUUUAGAAUUACUGUGGCCUUCCAUUUCCAUGUUAUUGGACCUUACCUAUAUUUUUUGCCUGGCCAGAAUUUACUUUUCUGAAACAAAAAGUAUGCAUCUAUGUCCAAAAUUCCUUCUAAGUUUCCCGGCACUUUCAUAUCAUUGGGUUGGUCUUUCAUGGAGUACAAAAUUAAAUCCAGACAUUUUAAUUACCUUAUUUCACCCUUAAAAAUGCACUAAAUAAAGAAGGUAAAGUAAAUUUCUAUCAAAAUUUCUGCCUUUAGCAACAUGACAGUUCUAUGUGGUGUUCAAAUACUCUAGAGCAUUUCUACUCCCUUCCUCUCUUCUUACUUCCUUCCUUUCUUUUUGUAAGCUUACUCAGGUGUUAACAGCCCUAGGUUCUUCAAAGGUACUACUUCUGUUAUUCCAUUCCACCUUCUUUGUUUUCCAACCAUCCUUAACGUCCAAUGUCAAAGUAAAAUAUAUCAGGAAUACUACAGAUGCCACAACUGUAUUUGAAGAAAAAAUUCUACACUAUUCAGAAGACAUCAAAGUAUCAGCCAUUUAACUAAUUGGAAAUUUUACACUUGUAAACAUGGACUAAGUUUUCCCUUCAAUCAUUUUUCUUUUAAAAAUUUUUACAUAAUGAAAGGAGAAACUGCCAAGCAAAUCCACUGAUUCACUUUUUUUUAAAGUUCCAGUUAGUUAACAGUGUAAUAGUUCCAAGUGAAAAAUAGUGAUUCAACUAUUCAAUAUGAUACACAGCGCUUAUCCCAAAAAGUGCACCCUUUAAUCCCCAUCUGUCCAACCCAACUUCCCACCCCCCUCUCCUCUAGUGAUCAUCAGUUUGUUCUCUAUAGAUAAGAGUCUAUUGCUCGUUUGCCCCUCUCUUUUUUCCCCUUUGCUCAUUUAUUUCUUAAAUUACAUAUAUGAGUAAAAUCAUAUGGUAUGUGUCUUUCUCUGAUGGACUUAUUUCAUUUAGCAUAAUAUGCUCUAGGCUCCUUCCAUGUCACUGCAAAUGGCAACAUUCGAUUAUUUGUUUACUUUUCCAUUGUAUAUACAUACCAUCCUCUUUAUCCAGUCAUUGGUCAUUGGACACUUGGGCUGUUUCCAUAAUUUGGCUUUGGUAGGUAAUACUGCUAUAAACUUGGGGGACAGGGGAAUGUAUCCCUUUCAAUUAGUAUAUUUGUAUUCUUUGGAUAAACACCUAGUAGUGCAAUUGUGGAAUUGUAGGGUAGUUUUAUUCUUAAAUUUUGAGGAACCUAAAGUGGCUGCACCAGUUUGCAUUCCCACCAACAGUGCAGGAGGGUGCCUCUUUGUCCACAUCCUUGCCAACAUCUGCUGUUUCUUGUGUUGUUGAUUUUAGCUAUUCCGACAGAUGUGAGGCGAUAGCUCAUUGUAGUUUUGAUUCUCAUUUACCAAAUAAUUAGUGAUAAGCAUCUUUUCAUGUGUUUGUUGGCCAUAUGGAUCUUUGGAAAAAUUUAUUUUCGUGUCCUCUGUGCAUUUUUAUUUGGAUUAUUUGUUUUUUGGGCGUUGAGUUUUAUAAGUCCUUAUGCAGUUCGGAUUCUAACCCUUUAUCAGAUAUGUCAUUUUCAAAUACCUUCUCCCAUCCUGUAGAUUCCCUUUUAGUUUUGUUGAUUAUUUCCUUCACUCUGCAAAAGCUUUUUAUUUUGAUGAAAUCCCAAUAAUUUAUCUUUCUUUUUAUUUCCCUUGCCUCAGGAGACAUAUCUAGAAAGAACUUGCUACAGCCAAUGUCAAAGAAGUUACUGCCUGUGUUCUCUUCUAGGAUAUUUAUGGUUUCAGUCUCACAUUUAGGUCUUUAACCCAUUUUGAAUUUUUUUUUAGUGGAUGGUCAAGAAAGUGAUCCAGUUUCCUUCUUUUUUCAUGUUGCUGUUCAGUUUUCCCAAUACCAUUUGUUGAAGAGACUUUUUCCCCCCAUUGGAUACUCUUUCCUGCCUUGACAAAGAUUAAUUGACAAUAUAGUUGGGGGUUCAUUUCUGGGUUUUCCAUUCUGUUCUACUGAUCUAUGUGUUUAUUUUUGUGCCAGGAUUAUUUUGAUUACUAUGGCUUUGUGAUGUAACUUGAAGUCUGGAAUUGUGUUAUCUCCAGCUUUGCUUUAUUUUUCAAGGUUGCUCUGGCUAUCUGAGGUCUUUUGUGAUUGCAUACAUAUUUGAGGGCUGUUUGUUCUAUCUCUGUGGAAAAUGCUGGUGGUAUUUUGAUAGGGAUUGCAUUAAAUCUGUGUAUUUUCUUGUGUAGUAUACACAUUUUAACAAUAUUUGUUCUUCCAAUCCAUGAGCAUGUCUUUACAUUUGUUUGUGUCACCUUUAAUUUCUUAUAUCAGUGUCUUACAGUUUUCAGAAUACAUGUAUUUAACCACUUUGACUAGGAUUAUUCCUCGAUAUCUUACUGGUUUGGGCACAAAUGUAAAAGAGACUGAUUAAUUCCUUAAUUUCUCUUUCUGCUGCUUCAUUAUUGAUAUAUAGUAAUACAAGAGAUUUCUAUACCUUGAUUUCACAGCCUGUGAAUUUACUGAAUUUAUCAGAUCUAGCAGUUUUUUGGUGGAGUUUUUCAGGUUUUCUGC
rnacentral:lncRNA from 1 species